AACGAACGCUGGCGGCAUGCCUAACACAUGCAAGUCGAACGAGACCUUCGGGUCUAGUGGCGCACGGGUGCGUAACGCGUGGGAACCUGCCCUUAGGUUCGGAAUAACUCCCCGAAAGGGGUGCUAAUACCGGAUAAUGUCUUCGGACCAAAGAUUUAUCGCCUUUGGAUGGGCCCGCGUUGGAUUGGCUAGUUGGUAGGGUAAAAGCCUACCAAGGCGACGAUGCAUAGCUGGUCGGAGAGGAUGCUCAGCCACACUGGGACUGAGACACGGCCCAGUAUCCGACGGAAGGCAGCAGUGGGGAAUAUUGGACGAGGGGCGAAAGUCUAAUACAGCAAUGCCGCGUGAGUGAUGAAGGCCGUAGGGUUGUAAAGCUCUUUUAGCCGGGAUGAUAAUGACAGUACCGGGAGAAUAAGCUCCGGCUAACUCCGUG
rnacentral:rRNA from 1 species